UACGUAGGUGGCGAGCGUUGUCCGGAUUUACUGGGCGUAAAGCGCGCGCAGGCGGACUGAUCAGUCUGGGGUGAAAUCUCACGGCUCAACUGUGAGCGGUCCCUGGAUACUGUCAGUCUUGAGAUGUCUAGAGGAGAGCGGAAUUCCCGGUGUAGUGGUGGAAUGCGUAGAUAUCGGGAAGAACACCAGUGGCGAAAGCGGCUCUCUGGGGACCAUCUGACGCUGAGGCGCGAAAGCGUGGGGAGCGAACGGG
rnacentral:rRNA from 1 species